rnacentral:lncRNA from 1 species
AGUUAGCAACAUUAGUACAACUUCCACUAUCAAUGAUAAAGAUACAAGUCUUACUUUGUACAUGGCACAUGGUAUGGAAAAUAUUGUCUCUUUACUACUGCAUAUCAUCACCAUCCUUCAUUUGCACACUGAGUGUAAGCCUAGCAACCAAAAGAUCACCCCUCAUUGGCUCUUCAACACUAUCAUCACUGUAAUCUCCUAAUUAUGGAAUUUUG